rnacentral:rRNA from 1 species
AUUGAACGCUGGCGGCAUGCCUUACACAUGCAAGUCGAACGGCAGCACGGGAGCAAUCCUGGUGGCGAGAGGCGAACGGGUGAGUAAUAUAUCGGAACGUGCCCAGUCGUGGGGGAUAACGUAGUGAAAGCUACGCUAAUACCGCAUACGAUCUACGGAUGAAAGCGGGGGAUCGCAAGACCUCGCGCGAUUGGAGCGGCCGAUAUCAGAUUAGGUAGUUGGUGAGGUAAAGGCUCACCAAGCCGACGAUCUGUAGCUGGUCUGAGAGGACGACCAGCCACACUUGGACUGAGACACGGCCCAGACUCCUACGGGAGGCAGCAGUGGGGAAUUUUGGACAAUGGGCGCAAGCCUGAUCCAGCAAUGCCGCGUGCAGGAUGAAGGCCUUCGGGUUGUAAACUGCUUUUGUACGGAACGAAACGGCGAGCUCUAAUACAGUUUGCUAAUGACGGUACCGUAAGAAUAAGCACCGGCUAACUACGUGCCAGCAGCCGCUGUAA